ensembl:snRNA U6 U6 spliceosomal RNA
GCGCUCGCUUCAGUAGCACAUAUGCUAAAAUUGUAAUGAUACAGAGAAGAUUAGUAUGGCCCCUUAAAAAAAUCACCCUAGGGCUUGUUAAAACACACAUUCCU